UGCAGUCGAGCGCGACAAAUCGCACAUCCUCUACGGAGGUGACCCCUGUACAACUAACUAAUGACGGGUGAGUAGCACGUGGGCGACGUACCUGCAAGAGUAACAUAAGCCCAGGCAACCGGGGCUCAUACCGGAUAAUACUGCUCCUUGUCUCGCGAUAAGUUGAGCCGCGGCUUUAAUCUCUCGCUUACAAAGGGGCCCCCGACGCAGGAGACAAUUCGUAACGGGACUGCUUAGCUGAGCGACCAUGCGGAGACUAACUGACAGGCUGAACUGCUACACUGGGCCUCAGAGACGAACCAUGCUCCUAGGGGAGGCACCUGAUGGGAAUCUUCCGCGAGGGACAAGAGUGUGAUCGAGCUGCGCCGCGCGUUUGAUGAAGGUUAUCGGAUCGUAGAUCUCUGCUGCUAGGUAAGACCACGCGCCGUUAAAAUACGGCGGCUCCUUCCCUGCCCCUGACCACAAAGCCCCGGAUAACGACAUGCCAGCUCCCACGUACAGACGUAAGGGGCAAGCGUUGUCCGGAAUUAUUGGGCGUGAAGCACGCGCAGGCUGUCCUUUAAGUCUGAUGUGAAAACUGACGGCUUAACCUGGGAGAGACAUUGGAAACUGUACGACUUGAGUACAGAAAAGGAUAGUGAAAUUCCACAUGUAGCGGUGAAAUGCGUACAGAUGUGGAGGAACACCACUGGCGAAUGCGACUCUCUGGUCUGUAACUGACACUAAAGUGCGAGAGCGUGCGGAGCGAACAGGAUUAGAUACCCUGGUAGUCCACUCCGUAAACGAUGAGUGCUAGGUGUUAGGUGGUUUCCGCCCCUGAGUGCUAAAGUUAACGCAUUAAGCACUCCGCCUGGGGAGUACGGCCGCAAGGCUGAAACUCAAAAGAAUUGACGGGGGCCCGCACAAGCGGUGGAGCAUGUGGUUUAAUUCGAAGCAACGCGAAGAACCUUACCAGGUCUUGACAUCCUCUGACAAUCCUAGAGAUAGGAUGUUCCCUUCGGGGACAGAGUGACAGGUGGUGCAUGGUUGUCGUCAGCUCGUGUCGUGAGAUGUUGGGUUAAGUCCCGCAACGAGCGCAACCCUUGAUCUUAGUUGCCAGCAUUUAGUUGGGCACUCUAAGGUGACUGCCGGUGACAAACCGGAGGAAGGUGGGGAUGACGUCAAAUCAUCAUGCCCCUUAUGACCUGGGCUACACACGUGCUACAAUGGAUGGAACAAAGGGCAGCGAAGCCGCGAGGUCAAGCAAAUCCCAUAAAACCAUUCUCAGUUCGGAUUGCAGGCUGCAACUCGCCUGCAUGAAGCCGGAAUCGCUAGUAAUCGCGGAUCAGCAUGCCGCGGUGAAUACGUUCCCGGGCCUUGUACACACCGCCCGUCACACCCCGAGAGUUGGUAACACCCGAAGUGGGUGAGGUAAC
rnacentral:rRNA from 1 species